rnacentral:rRNA from 1 species
UACGAAGGAUCCAAGCGUUAUCCGGAUUCAUUGGGUUUAAAGGGUGCGUAGGCGGGCUUGUAAGUCAGUGGUGAAAUCUCUUCGCUUAACGAAGAAACUGCCAUUGAUACUGCAGGCCUAGAGUACAGAUGAUGUUGGCGGAAUGUGUCAUGUAGCGGUGAAAUGCUUAGAUAUGACACAGAACACCGAUUGCGAAGGCAGCUGACAAAACUGUAACUGACGCUGAUGCACGAAAGUGCGGGGAUCAAACAGG